rnacentral:rRNA from 1 species
GAGGAUAAGAAACCAAAUAGGAUUCCCUCAGUAAUGGCGAAUGAACAGGGAUGAGCUCAGCAUGGAAAUCGGGGCCUGUGGCCUUGAAUUGUAGUCUGGAGAUGUAUCACCAACUGGGGCGCAGAUGUAAGCCUUUUGGAACAGAGCAUCAAUGAGGGUGAAAGUCCCUUUUGGCAUCUGCAGUCCCCAGUGCUCGGUGUACCUUCUAAGAGUCACGUUCCUCGGGAUUGGAGCGCAAAUUGGGUGGUAAAUUUCAUCUAAAGCUAAAUAUAGUUUCGAGACCGAUAGCAAACAAGUACCAUGAGGGAAAGGUGAAAAGGACUUUGAAAAGAGAGUUAAAAGUGCCUGAAAUUGCUGAAAGGAAAGCGAAUGGAGCCAGCUUGACUUGGCAGGAUUGCUGCACACCAAUGUGAGCGCUUGCUGCUGCAACGUAAGUGAGGUAGUAAGUUUUGAACAGGACGUGAGCAGUGCUUCCUGCCUUGUGUGUCAUUGCUAGUUCACAGUUGAGGAAAACUUCAGGCACAUGGUAGCCUGCCCCUGGGUGGGUGAAUGUGCUUGCUGGAACUCACUUGUGGACUGAUGAAUGGCUAAAUGGCUCUAUCUGACCCGUC